CUCAACGACCGUACCGCAAACCGACACUGGUGCGCGAGAUGAGUAUUCUAAGGCGCUUGAGAGAACUCAGGAGAAGGAACUCGGCAAAUUGACACCGUAACUUCGGAAGAAGGUGUGCCCUAUUAGUGUGAAGUGAACAACGGAGCAUGAAUGGGUUGCAAAAAAUCGGUGGCUGCGACUGUUUAUUAAAAACACAGCACUCUGCAAACACGAAAGUGGACGUAUAGGGUGUGACGCCUGCCCGGUGCUGGAAGAUUAAAUGAUGGGGUGCAAGCUCUUGAUUGAAGUCCCAGUAAACGGCGGCCGUAACAAUAACGGUCCUAAGGUAGCGAAAUUCCUUGUCGGGUAAGUUCCGACCUGCACGAAUGGCGUAACGAUGGCCACACUGUCUCCUCCUGAGACUCAGCGAAGUUGAAAUGUUUGAUGAUGCAAUCUCCCCGCGGAAAGACGGAAAGACCCCAUGAACCUUUACUGUAGCUUUGUAUUGGACUUUGAACAGAUCUGUGUAGGAUAGGUGGGAGGCUUUGAAGCAGGGUCGCUAGAUCUUGUGGAGCCAACGUUGAAAUACCACCCUGGUGUGUUUGAGGUUCUAACCUAGGUCCAUUAUCUGGAUCGGGGACAGUGCAUGGUAGGCAGUUUGACUGGGGCGGUCUCCUCCCAAAGCGUAACGGAGGAGUUCGAAGGUACGCUAGUUACGGUCGGACAUCGUGACGAUAGUGCAAUGGCAUAAGCGUGCUUAACUGCGAGACUGACAAGUCGAGCAGAUGCGAAAGCAGGACAUAGUGAUCCGGUGGUUCUGUAUGGAAGGGCCAUCGCUCAACGGAUAAAAGGUACUCUGGGGAUAACAGGCUGAUACCGCCCAAGAGUUCAUAUCGACGGCGGUGUUUGGCACCUCGAUGUCGGCUCAUCUCAUCCUGGGGCUGUAGCCGGUCCCAAGGGUAUGGCUGUUCGCCAUUUAAAGAGGUACGUGAGCUGGGUUUAAAACGUCGUGAGACAGUUUGGUCCCUAUCUUCCGUGGGCGCUGCAGAUUUGAGGAAGCCUGCUCCUAGUACGAGAGGACCGGAGUGGACACACCUCUGGUGUAUCGGUUGUCACGCCAGUGGCAUUGCCGAGUAGCUAAGUGUGGAAGAGAUAACCGCUGAAAGCAUCUAAGCGGGAAACUCGUUUCAAGAUGAGAUCUGCCGGGGCCUUGAGCCCCCUGAAGAGUCGUUCAAGACCAGGACGUUGAUAGGUCAGGUGUGGAAGCGCAGUAAUGCGUUAAGCUAACUGAUACUAAUUGCUCGUGCGGCUUGAUCAU
rnacentral:rRNA from 1 species